UACGGGGGGGGCAAGCGUUGUUCGGAAUUACUGGGCGUAAAGGGUUCGUAGGUGGCCAACUAAGUCAGACGUGAAAUCCCUCAGCUUAACUGGGGAACUGCGUCUGAUACUGGUCUGGCUUGAGUGCAGGAGAGGAACGCGGAAUUCCAGGUGUAGCAGUGAAAUGCGUAGAGAUCAUGAGGAAGACCAGUGGCGAAGGCGGGUCUCUGGACAGUUCCUGACACUGAGGCACGAAGGCCAGGGGAGCAAACGGG
rnacentral:rRNA from 1 species